rnacentral:rRNA from 1 species
UCAGGCCUAACACAUGCAAGUCGAACGGGAUCUUCGGAUCUAGUGGCGGACGGGUGAGUAACGCGUGGGAACGUGCCCUUUGCUUCGGAAUAGCCCCUGGAAACGGGGAGUAAUACCGGAUGAGCCCUACGGGGGAAAGAUUUAUCGGCGAAGGAUCGGCCCGCGUUGGAUUAGGUAGUUGGUGGGGUAAUGGCCUACCAAGCCGACGAUCCAUAGCUGGUUUGAGAGGAUGAUCAGCCACACUGGGACUGAGACACGGCCCAGACUCCUACGGGAGGCAGCAGUGGGGAAUCUUAGAGAAUGGGGGAAACCCUGAUCUAGCCAUGCCGCGUGAGCAAGGAAGGCCUUAGGGUUGUAAAGCUCUUCAGCUGGGAAGAUAAUGAC